GUUCCCGUAGUGUAGUCAUUAUCACGUUCGCCUAACACGCAAAAGGUCCCCGGUUCAAAACUGGGCGGGAACA